UAAAUACUUAUUUAAUUGCUAAACUUGCAAUUUUAGAAAUAUUUAAACUUAAAAUCGUAAGAGAUGCAAUAUACUUACUGUUCGAGAAAUCAGUAUGAUGCUCGGCAUUUUAAUUAAUAUUUUCCCAAAUUUGCGGACAGCAGUGAAGGCAGCUAAAGAAAAAUAUUAGCCUACCGCUAAUUUAUUUGAAAAAAACAAAAAGAAUAAUAGUACGACACAACUUAUGAAGGAGAAGAAGCGAGUGAAUUUACAUAGUCUAAGAAAAAUAAGUCGAUAAGAUUUAUAAUGGCAAACCUCAAAUAUCACUAAGCAACCAACAAAAGAUAGUAACUCAAAAAGAUUAAAUGACAAUCGGUAAAUACAAAUCACGCUUAGUUUAUUAUAUUACUUUUAAGGGGAAAAUUAGUCGGAGUCGGAAUAAAAUUCAUCAGAUUCAGGAUCAAGCAUGGAGAGAUCAAGCUGGUAACGCAUAACAGCACCAAUACCACCAAAACCUUUGACAAAUUGCAUACCUUCCUGAGAUCGGUCAGAAACAAACUCUAAGUUAGCACCGUAAUCCUUGUAAUGUUCAGCAAGCCAUUCAGAGAGUAGCAUAGAGCUUACUAACUCCAUUUCAGCACCUGUAUCCUUAUCUAGCAAGAACGAAUUGGUAGAAUCCUUUUCCUCUUGCUCCUUAGUCAUAUAUGUAAUAACAGGAUUACCUUCUGAGUUCUUAAACUCAUAACGGAUCAUAUCAAGGUCUGCAAAACACAGAAGUGUUUCUACGGCACCUUCCUGAAGUGCAUUCAUAGUAUCAACGACACCAAAACAGUAUUUACCCGAAUCUAAGCUAAUUUCGUCGAAAAAGCGUUGUAUCAAUUUUUUCUCUUGGACAUAUUUCACAUUUGACAAAGUAUCAGCAGCCAAUUCUAUAGCCUGGUUAAAACCAGCGUCGCCACCGUACGAGACGUCUACAGUCUUGAUAAUACGAGAUUGAAGACGUUGGUCAAACAAGUCACUUUGACCGAGUUCCGUUUUAAAAUCAGCAGAACCAGCAAGAACAAUACCCGCAACAUUAGGUUUAUCAUCAGUAAUAAAAUGCUGCACAGCACCUUCAGCAACCUUUCGAACAUAGUUGUGACGUUUUUCAUCACGUAAACGGGCAAAACGAAGAGCAGAUUGACCACCACGUCCAUGUUUUUUAGGUAAAUCGACAGUGAAUCGUUGUAAAACCUCACGAGCACUACCAGAAACAACACCAUAUAAAGUUUGAUGACCGUCCAUAACAAUAAAUCCGAAGCGUUGAUCACUUUCAAGCAAUUCUGCUAAAGCUUCAGUAUGAAAUUUAUUAUCACAAAGAUAUUGCGAAGUAUUAAUUGGUUUGAAGGGUUCGAAAUCAAUGUUGAGCUUGCGUGUCUUAUUGCCCUCCAUUAUAACUUCACCGCAGUAAAUGACCAAUCCAUUAUCAGGGACUUUAUUGUACAAUUUCAAACGCUCACGAGUUGAAGUAAUUGCAGAUAGAACUGAUAAACGAUUCACACGAGAUUUAAUGUUAGAGGCAGUGCCAUACUCUUCGGCAAGCAUAUUGCUGUAUCUGGAUAUUUGUUCGCCAGGUGGGAUAAUUAACGUAAUCAUUGAGGUGCCGUUUCCAUGACAGUUAAUCAAUUGUUUUACCAAACGGCGAAUUUUCCAAAUUUCGAUAGCUUUCUCAGCAGUCUCACUCAUUUUGUAAAAUUUGUUUUAAAGUUUUUUAUACCCAAGGUUCUUGUACACACUAUGAAAAAUCCGAAAACCGAAAUCCUAUUUUUUUAUAACUUGAACAGACAGUUCAAGCAACGAAUUACCUC
rnacentral:lncRNA from 1 species